CCCUUAGAUGUUCUGGGCCGCACGCGUGCUACACUGAGUAAAUCAAUGGGUAAGGGAACACGAAAGUGCAACCUAAUCUUGAAAUUUGCUCGUGAUGGGGAUCGACGGUUGCAAUUUUCCGUCGUGAACGAGGAAUACCUUGUAGGCGCGUGUCAUCAUCACGCGCCGAAUACGUCCCUGCCCUUUGUACACACCGCCCGUCGCUCCUACCGAUUGAGCGGUCCGGUGAAGACUCAGGAGAUGGGCGCGUGCUUGGUUCGCCAACUGCGCUGCCUGCCAAAUUUGUCUAAACCUUAUCGCUUAGAGGAAGGAGAAGUCGUAACA
rnacentral:rRNA from 1 species